rnacentral:lncRNA from 1 species
UGGUAACUAUAUUAAUGUGUCGUGCUGGGCCUCCUGCUGGCAUAAUGGGUCGGUAUAAAUCCGGCAUGCCAAUAUUUUAGUCCUAUCACAAAACAGACCAAAACCGGGCAAGCAAAUGCAAAGAGAGUACUUUUGAUGGUCUGAUUCAGAUGGUUGCUGCUGCCACCGUUGUUUUCUUUACUCUUCUUGAUUUUGUCCCUCCCUUCUCGAUCGAUGCAGCUGAUCCUGCAACGAUGGAUCGAUAUGCCCCCGUUUUUUGUUCCUAACUCCCAGAUGCUCCUAUAUAUGUAUGGUACCUAAAACAUGUCACGCGGCAAUAAAUAAAUAAUUAAAUCCGACUUGGCAUCCUAUUUAUAAAGAGCAUGAAUGGUGCAGGUCCUGUUUGAUUAGGCUUAAAAUUAUGGUUUUGAUUUUUGGUUUAUAAACCAAUUUAGAUGUUUUUGACUUUGUCUUUCAAUCUUUGACUAGAUAUCGUUACAUAAUGAUACAAGCAAAAGGCCAAAACUUAAUUAAUGUAUUUGGUUUAAGCUAAAAAUAAAUAGCCAAAAGUUAUGUCCAAUCAAAUACUUAUGGUCCUAGUCUAGAUACGACUCUUAUCGCCAAAACAAAAGGAAAAAAAACCUUCAAAAUUAUUUCUCAACAAAAAACAAAACAUAGCUUGUUUAGAUAUAACACUAAGAUAAGGUUGUUUCUAAACAUUUAAAAUUUACUCCAUAUGGGUCUAAGAUACAGUCAAUCGCAAGUGGGCUUAAAUAGUUUACAAAAACAAAAAAGUGGGCUUAAAUGGAGCCAAAUGAUUAUAUAUCCUAUCCAUGAAAGUACGAAAUACCAGUAUUCUUUCUGAGAUACGGCAUGCAUCACUCUUUUUCUUCACACGUUGACUACCGAAAUAUUCAAAUAUAGAAGAACAGAAACAGAAAGUGCGCUAUAACAUGUGCCAUCGGCCCGGACGCGUUGUUCACACAGACCGUACGUACGUUCGUGUGCUAUAUACACACACGUUGACACGAUAUAUAUGGGGAUUUUAACGCAUUAUUGUUUUAGCUGGGAACUGAACUCAUGUGUACUGGAGUGGUACUCAGAUACGUGUAAAGCAAGAGAAAGAC